rnacentral:tRNA from 1 species
GGACGCUUAACUCAGCGGUAGAGUGCUACAUUCACAUUGUAGAUGUCGCAGGUUCGAUCCCUGCAGCGUCCACCA